UCGAGGAUCUUCGGCAAUGGGCGCAAGCCUGACCGAGCGACGCCGCGUGCGCGAUGAAGGCCUUCGGGUUGUAAAGCGCUGUCGAGGGGGAGGAAGCCGCAAGGUUGACCUAUCCCUGGAGGAAGCACGGGCUAAGUUCGUGCCAGCAGCCGCGGUAAGACGAACCGUGCGAACGUUGUUCGGAAUCACUGGGCUUAAAGGGCGCGUAGGCGGGUCAUCAAGUCCGGGGUGAAAUCUUUCGGCUUAACCGGAAAAUAGCCUUGGAUACUGGUGGUCUUGAGGGAGGCAGGGGCAGCGGGAACUUCCGGUGGAGCGGUGAAAUGCGUUGAUAUCGGAAGGAACGCCGGUGGCGAAAGCGCGCUGCUGGACCUCUUCUGACGCUGAGGCGCGAAAGCCAGGGGAGCAAACGGGAUUAGAUACCCGCGUAGUCC
rnacentral:rRNA from 1 species